GAGAGAGCGUGCAAGUAGGGGAGGACUGAGAGAGAAGAUCUGAGGCCGGCUCCGUGCUGACAGCAGAGAGCCUGAUGCCGGGCUCCAACUUGUGGACCGCCAGACCAUGACCUGAGCAGAAGCCAGAGGCUUAACCGACUGCGCCACCCAGGCGCCCUCAAGCUUUCAGUCUUGGAUCACAGAGGUGGAUAACGUCUCUGUGAUCCGCCCACGUUGUUGCAUGCGUCAAUCGGUACUUGGAUCCUUUUCAUCGCUGAGGAGUAUUCCAUCCAGCAGAUAAACCACAAUCUGUUUAUCCAGUCACCAUGAUGGGACAUCGGGCUCUUUCCCGUUUGGGGCCGUUAUGAAUAAAGCUGCAAUGAACAUUCA